GUCGCCUCUUGAAUAACCGGAAGGUGCUGCAACUGCACACAAGCUGUUCGGUUCAGACAGAGGCGCAUAAGAAGAGAGACUUGAGUCUUUCCGUGAAUCAGUUUGAGGGUAGGGAACAUUUUUUGUCCUGUUCCUUUCCUAGAUAGAUUCAAACAUUU